rnacentral:rRNA from 1 species
UACGAAGGGGGCUAGCGUUGCUCGGAAUUACUGGGCGUAAAGGGCGCGUAGGCGGCACUGUUAGUCAGGCGUGAAAGUCCUGGGCUCAACCUGGGAACUGCGCUUGAUACGGCAGAGCUAGAGGAUGGAAGAGGCUCGCGGAAUUCCCAGUGUAGAGGUGAAAUUCGUAGAUAUCAGGAGGAACACCCGUGGCGAAGGCGGCUCUCUGGAUCGACCCUGACGCUGAGGCGCGAAAGCGUGGGGAGCGAACGGG